rnacentral:rRNA from 1 species
GACGGGGGGGGCAAGUGUUCUUCGGAAUGACUGGGCGUAAAGGGCACGUAGGCGGUGAAUCGGGUUGAAAGUGAAAGUCGCCAAAAAGUGGCGGAAUGCUCUCGAAACCAAUUCACUUGAGUGAGACAGAGGAGAGUGGAAUUUCGUGUGUAGGGGUGAAAUGCGCAGAUAUCAGGAGGAACACCGGUGGCGAAGGCGGGUCUCUGGGCCGUUACUGACGCUGAGGAGCGAAAGCGUGGGGAGCGAACAGG